rnacentral:rRNA from 1 species
CCUAGUUGAUCCUGCUAAUAGUCAUAUGCUUGUCUCAAAGAUUAAGCCAUGCAUGUCUAAGUAUGAACUAACUCAGACUGUGAAACUGCGGAUGGCUCAUUAAAUUAGUUAUAGUUUUUUUGAUGGUACCAUACUACUCGGAUAACUGUAGUAAUUCUAGAGCUAAUAUGUGCACCAAUUCCCAACUCUUUGGAAGGGAUGCAUUUUUUAGAUAAAAGGCCGGUGCGAGCUUGCUCGCUUUUCUGGUGAAUCAUGAUAACUCGACGUAUCGCACAAUGCUUGUGCUGGCGAUUCAAAUUUCUACACUAUCAUAUUUUGAUGGUAGGAUAGAGGCCUACCAUGGUGGUGAAGGGUGACAGAGAAUUAGUGUUUGAUUCCAGGGAGGGAGACAGAGAAAUGGCUACCACAUCCAAGGAAGGUAGUAGGCACGCAAAUUAUCCAAUCCUGACACAGGGAGGUAGUGACAAUAAAUAACAAUACUGGGCUCAUCGAGUCUGGUAAUUGGAAUGAGUACAAUCUAAAUCCCUUAAUGAGGAUCCAUUGGAGGGUAGGUUUGGUGCCAUUAGCCAUGGUAAUUCUAGCUCUAAUAGCGUAUAUUUAAGUUGUUGCAGAUAAAAAGAUCGUAGUUGGAUCUUGGGUCAUAAAGGUCGGUCCACCUAAUCAGUGUGCACCUGCCCUUCUGUCCCUUUUUUUGGAAACAUGAUCCUAGCCUUAAUUGGUUGGGUCGUGGCUCUGAUGCUGUUACUUUGAAAAAAUUAGAGUUCUCAAAGCAAUCUUAUGCUUUGAAUACAUUAGCAUGCAAUAACGUGAUAGGAGUCUGGUCCUAUUGUGUUGGCCUUCGGGACCGGAGUAAUGAUUAUUAGGGACUGUCGAGGGCAUUCGUAUUUCAUUGUCAGAGGUGAAAUUCUUGGAUUUAUGAAAUACGGACCACUGUGAAAGCAUUUUCCAAGGAUGUUUUCAUUAAUCAAGAACAAAAGUUGGGGGCUUGAAGACGAUCAGAUACCUUCCUAGUCUCAACCAUAAAUGAUGCCAACCAAGGAUCAAUGGAUGUUGCUCUAAGGACUCUUCCAGCACCUUCUGAGAAAUCAGAGUGUUUGGGUUCUAGGGGGAGUAUGGUUGCAAGGCUAAAACUUAAGGGAAUUGAUGGAAGGGCACCACCAGGAGUGGAGCCUGCGGCUUAAUUUGACUCAACACGGGGAAACUUACCAGGCCUAGAGAUAGUAAGGAUUGACAGAUUGAGAGCUCUUUCUUGAUUCUAUGGGUGGUGGUGCAUGGCCAUUCUUAGUUGGUGAAGCGAUUUGUCUGGUUAAUACCGAUAAUGAAUGAGACCUUAGCCUACUAAAUAGCUAUUUGGAGGUUCCCCUUCACGGCCAACAUCUUAGAGGACUAUGGCCAUUUAGGCCAUAAAAGUUUGAGGCAAUAACAGGUCUGUGAUGCCCUUAGAUGUUCUGGGUUGCAUGCAUGUUACACUAAUGCAGCUAACGAGUUUUUCUUAUUGGUUCAAGAGGAUUGGGAAAUCUUCUCAGAUUGCAUCGUGAUGGGGAUAGACCAUUGCAAUUAUUGGUCUUCAAUGAAGAAUUCCUAGUAAGCUCAUGUUAUUAACUUGUGUUGACUAUGUCCCUGCCCUUUUUACACACCGCCCGUCGCUCCUACCGAUUGAAUGAUUCAAUGAAGUGUUCAGAUUGCGUCAAUGAUGGUGGUUCACCACCAUCAAUGUCAUGAGAAGUUCAUUGAACCUUAUCAUUUAGAGGAAGGAGAAGUUGUAACAAGGUUACCGUAGGUGAACCUGCAGUAG